ACUAUUGGAAAUGAUGGUUGAUAUAUGUAUACAGAGUUUGUCGUUGCGUUUAAUUAGGAACAGAACCAAAUUAAGGCACGCCUAACUCUGUCUACAUGUACUUUUACAAGAGUUAGACCAGUA
rnacentral:precursor_RNA from 14 species